rnacentral:lncRNA from 1 species
CCCACCCUGAGCUCCUCCCCUAACUCCCCAAAACAUUGGGAAGAUGGGCCUUCUGUCCUGGAAGGGCCAGUCUCCUGGGCAGAGCGCUAUGCAUAAGAAGGAAAGCCGUGUUACUCAAUGGUUCUACUGAACCACUAAGCAACAGGGGCUCUGGGGGCACUGUGGAGAUAGAGAACCCUUAGGAAGGCGAUGCUGGAUCCUAUGGGUCUCAACAGAGGGCCUUACGGGUAGGCCCUGUAGGAGGGACUGGGAGGCACAGGUCCCAGGAACACGUGUGCUGGGCACACGUGAGUACAUGCAGGGUCAAAGCUGGCAGGCAGACGGGUUGAGCCUCUCCGUGCUCCCACGGGGUCUGCAUCAGAUUUUGCACUUAGCAAGCGAAUUUGCUUCCCAGGGCCACUGUAACAACCAACCACGAAUGGGAGGCUCAACACAACUGAAACGCACGUCCUCACAGUCCUGGAGGCCCGAACUCCAAAACCAAGGCGCCAGCAGGGCCACGCUUCCUCCACGGAGCCUCGGGGAGCAGACGGUCUUGAGACGAGACUUGCUCCCGCAACCCUUUCCCAGCUGCAGCUGCCUCUCCGCCAUCUCUGCCUCCGUGGCCACGCGGCAUCUUCUCCCUGGCAUGGGCUGAACCACCGCAUCUCGGGCAGGGAAGAAAAAAAUGCUGGCAACUAAACCGUGAGGUCCCUUCAAGAGUAAAAUGGAACCUAAGAGGAAGACGGAACCUAACAGAGAUGUCGGGAGGAGAAGCAGCAUGCAUCUUAGAAUUGAUAAGCACGAUACAUGACGACAGGUGUUUUGGUU